rnacentral:rRNA from 1 species
CCUACGGGCGGCAGCAGUGGGGAAUAUUGGGCAAUGGGCGAAAGCCUGACCCAGCAACGCCGCGUGAAGGAAGAAGGCCCUCGGGUUGUAAACUUCUUUUGUCAGGGACGAGCAGAUGACGGUACCUGUUGACUCAGCCACGGCUAACUACGUGCCAGCAGCCGCGGUAAUACGUAGGUGGCAAGCGUUGUCCGGAUUUACUGGGUGUAAAGGGCGUGUAGCCGGGGUAGCAAGUCAGAUGUGAAAUUCGAGGGCUCAACCCCGGAACUGCAUUUGAAACUGUUGGUCUUGAGUGUCGGAGAGGCAGGCGGAAUUCCGAGUGUAGCGGUGAAAUGCGUAGAUAUUAGGAGGAACACCAGUGGCGAAGGCGGCCUGCUGGACAGUAACUGACGGUGAGGCGCGAAAGCGUGGGGAGCAAACAGGAUUAGAUACCCGUGUAGUC